GACGAACGCUGGCGGCGUGCUUAACACAUGCAAGUCGAACGGAAAGGCCCGGCUUUUGUGGGGUGCUCGAGUGGCGAACGGGUGAGUAACGCGUGAGUAACCUGCCCUUGACUUUGGGAUAACUUCAGGAAAAUGGGGCUAAUACAGGAUAGGAGCUCCUGCUGCGUGGUGGGGGUUGGAAAGUUUCGGCGGUUGGGGAUGGAAUCGCGGCUUAUCAGCUGGUUGGUGGGGUAGUGGCUUACCAGGGUUUUGACGGGUAGCCGGCCUGGGAGGGUGACCGGCCACAUUGGGACUGAGAUACGGACCAGACUCCUACGGGAGGCAGCAGUGGGGAAUAUUGCACAAUGGGCGGAAGCCUGAUGCAGCAACGCCGCGUGCGGGAUGACGGCCUUCGGGUUGUAAACCGCUUUCGCCUGUGACGAAGCGUGAGUGACGGUAAUGGGUAAAGAAGCACCGGCUAACUACGUG
rnacentral:rRNA from 1 species